rfam:Gossypium arboreum cultivar AKA8401 contig_10215_3, whole genome shotgun sequence.
AACCCAUGAUGAGGGCACCUUCCCAAUAGAUCCUUGUAUCUCUCCCAUGUAUCAUAAAGUGUUUCUAAAUCCAUCUGCACAAAAGAAGAGAUAUCAUUCCUUAAUUU